rnacentral:rRNA from 1 species
UACGUAGGGCGCAAGCGUUAUCCGGAAUUAUUGGGCGUAAAGAGCUCGUAGGUGGUUUGUCGCGUUGUUCGUGAAAACUCACAGCUCAACUGUGGGCGUGCGGGCGAUACGGGCAGACUUGAGUACUGCAGGGGAGACUGGAAUUCCUGGUGUAGCGGUGGAAUGCGCAGAUAUCAGGAGGAACACCGGUGGCGAAGGCGGGGUCUCUGGGCAGUAACUGACGCUGAGGAGCGAAAGCGUGGGGAGCGAACAGG